rnacentral:rRNA from 1 species
ACGGCGUAGUAAUGCAUCGGAACGUACCCUCUGGUCGGGGAUAGCUACGGGAAACUGUAGGUAAUACCCGAUGAUCUCUGCGGAGCAAAGGUGAGAUUCCGCCGGAGGAGCGGCUGAUGUGAUAUUAGCUAGUUGGUGGGGUAAUGGCCCACCAAGGCGAUGAUGUCUAGGGGGUGUGAGAGCAUGGCCCCCACGACCGGAACUGAGAUACUGUCCGGACACCUACGGGUGGCUGCAGUCGAGAAUCUUCCGCAAUGGACGAAAGUCUGACGGAGCGACGCCGCGUGCGGGAUGAAGGCCCUUGGGUUGUAAACCGCUGUCAGAGGGGAUGAAAUCUUCGGAGGUACUCCUCCGAAGUUGACAGAGCCUCAAAGGAAGCACGGGCUAAGUACGUGCCAGCAGCCGCGGUAACACGUACUGUGCGAACGUUAUUCGGAAUCACUGGGCUUAAAGGGUGCGUAGGCGGCGAAUCAAGUCAGGUGUGAGAGGCCUGAGCUCAACUGAGGCAUUGCGCUUGAAACUGAUUUGCUUGAGUAUCCCAGGGGUGUGCGGAACUGCCAGUGGAGCGGUGAAAUGUGUUGA